UCAUAACAAGAGAAAUUUAUUGCUCACAGUUCUGGAGCCUGGGAAGUCCAAGAUCAACGUACCAGCAGAUUCAGAUGAAGGCGUGUUCUCAGCUUCAUAGGUGGUGCAUUCUUGCUGCUUCUUCACAUGAUGGAAGGAGUGAACAAGCUCCCUUGGGCCUCUUUUACAAAGAUGGCAAAGAAGGAGAGAAGAGAAGAAGUAGCCAGACAUUGGAAAGAAACAGCUUGACUUCAGAGGAAUGGCUUGAUGGUGGGACUUAGGAGAAGUGUACAGCAGGGGACUGCUGGACUCCAUGGGAAGAUCACCUUCCCACUCCAUCCCCCUUCCAGCUCCCCAUCCUGCUGGGAGCCACUUUCAUCAGUAAUAAAAUUCUCCGCAUUCAUCACCCUUCAAUUUUUUCAUGCAACCUUGGUUGCAAGGACUCAGGUGGAGAGACGAAGGAUCAAGCAAUGUGACUGGUAGAAACUGUGUUAUACAAGGUAAACCAAGAGAGAAUUGUGCAAAAAUGUCUUCAGGGUCACUUCUUUCCCUAACUUGGUCCCUCAGAGUUCUUUCCACUAGAUAUCCAGUGUGUUCAACCUAACUCCUAUCUGCAGUGGGCCUCCAAAUAUUGCACCCCUAUGGGCAGGGCUGUGUGUCAUUUCCCUGGCCCCUAUCUGGGUCAAAACUGUCAUUCCUCCAGGGACCUGCUGGGCAACUAGCAAACUAAUCUUCAAUGUAUUUUACCCAAGGUGUUAAUGACAGAUAAUGGCUUAAUGCAUUACCCCUCCCAGCUAACAUUUCCAUUUUAAUAGAGCCUUUAAAUGCUUUAACCUGAAGGAAACAGCAUGAAAAAUGCAGGGAUAGCAAAUAUCUGGCACCUUUGCUCCUUCCCUGUUCCUGGAAGACAUCUUCAAAUGGUCACUGAGGCUUUUCCUGCUAUGCCUGGACAUACCCUGAGAAGCCCAUAGGGCCCUGGGCAGCCCCUACCAGCCUAUGAUGGGAGUUACCAUGCAAGAUGAAAUCUAUUUGCCAACCUUAUCGUGAAACAAAUAUUUGUCCAGGAGUAAAAAGACCUGAAUUCUACUUUGGGGCUUUGACAUUACCUGGACAUAGGGCCUAAACAAAUUUAUUAGACAUUUCCAAGUCUCAGUUUCCUUACCCAUAAAAUGAGAGGACUGGCAUUAGAGUCAAGCAUUUCCAAAGCAUAGUUCUCAAUCUGCCAGGGACUCUCAAAAUCUGACCUCACAGCUCUCCAAGCUGGUUGCUGCUACCACGUACCUCUUCCCAUUUUUGCCUUGCUUCCCACAAGGGAAGGAAAUUCACUCCCAACUGGGCACCACCUUUCUAUCUCUAUUUGGGGACCUUCCUGUCCCUGAAAGGCCCUGGGAACAUAAUGUAAAGCAACUAUGGGGGCAGCUGCUAAGAAGCCAGAUCUUGUGACACUAAGAGUCCAGUCACGUGGUUCAGAGUCCACAGCAACCUGUGGCGACUAUGCAGUCAUCAGCCAGAGAGGCAGAGCCUCUGUCUGGAGAUGUGUCAGAAAUGGGUGUGACUAGUCCCAGACACAUCAAGUGAGGAAAAAUCAGGUGUGCAGAUUACGUUGUGUAAAUGCCUUUCUAAUUCUCAAUGCUCCAGGAAGGAAUCUCAGAGAUUAAAUUAAGCUGUUAACCCUCUAGGCGCUCCUGUCGUUUAUUGUUAAGGAAUUAAUAGGAAUGCGGGAAUGCAGAUGGCCUGGCUGUCAGCUCGGAGAGGCGAUUUUUCUGAUCUCCAAGGAGGUUUCCAGCAUCUUUCAUUAAGCACUCGUGUACCAACUUGUCAUUUUAACCGAGCAGCAAAGAAACUCCCACUCAACUGCCUACCUCAGGUGCUGGGAGUGCAAUCCUCGGAGGAGUCUUUCUGGGUUGCAGGUGCAGGGGAGGCGCCCAGGUGAUGGGGGUGGGGUGCAGCGAGAAAUGGAUUUAAAGCCACUCCAGGAAGGAAAUCGGAUCCCAAAACCUGGUUGUCCUGGGCACAGGCUUCAGGUGACUGCAGAAGAUUCCUCUCUAGCAAUCCUGAACUGAGCAGAGAUGUGAAAACUUACUUCUUUCCGCUUUCUCGAAGCGCUCCAGGACGCAGGUGGCACGCUCAACGCGGGGAGGCGCCACCUACAGGACAGAGGAAGACCUGCAGCUUGGGCUUGAGAUUUCAACAGUCUGUGGCGGGGGCUGAUGAGGGCGGCCCCUCCUCCUCCUGGAGUAAUAAUAGUCCCUGACAUUUAUCGAAUGCUCUUCUCGUGCCAGACACUGUCCUGAGCACUUGACAUGUAUUAAUGAUUUUAAACCUCACAACAACCCUAUUAGCUUGGUCUCUUGCACCUCUACCCUUUGCCACGAGAAGAGCAUGCCCUUGUCACUUCGGCCUGAGUCCCAGAAUGAGAAGUUACAUGGAGCAGACCUGAACAAGAUUCACAACCUGAACAGAAUCACUGCAGCCAAUCCACAAACCUAAAAUUGUCUACAUUCCUGCCUGGGCAUGGUGGCUCAUGCCUGUAAUCCAGCACUUUGGGAGGCCGAGGUGGGCGAGUCACUUGAGUCAGGAGUUCGAGACCAGCCUGGCCAACAUGGUGAAACCCUGCCUCUACUAAAAAUACAAAAAAUUAGCUGAGCAUGGUGGUGCAUGACUGUAAUCCCAGCUACUUGGGAGGCUGGGUCAGGAGAAUCGCUUUAACUGGGAGGUGGAGGUUGCAGUGAGCCAAGAUCACGCCACUGCACUCCAGAGUGGGAAACAGAGCAAGACUCCACCUCAAAAAGAAGAAGGAGAAGGAGAAGGAGAUUAUCUACAUUCCUGAGGAGGAGAAGUUGUACUUAAACUACCUUGAUCCAACUUCCAGCUUUACAAUCAUUGCCCCCCACCAUGCAUAUAUCAUACAUAUAUACCUGCUAGCAUGAAUACCUGCAUCAUAUCUAGAAUUAAUGGGAAUAGUCAUAGGGCCAAUCUUUCUUAUAUCAAGCAAGCUGAACAAGGGUCCAAGGGAUAAGGCCACAGCUACUUCCUCCUGCUUUAGAACAGAGCUAAAUAAACCUGUUCCUAAGUCUUGUGAAAAAAAAAAUUAGCCAGGCGUGGUGGCGAGUGCCUGUAAUCCCAGCUACUGGUGAGGCUAAGGCAGAGAAUUGCUUGAACCAGGGAGGCAGAGGUCACAGUGAGCCGAGAUCAUGCCACUGCACUCCAGCCUUUGCAACAGAGUGAGACUCUGUCUCAAAAAAAAAAAAAGUACACAGGGGAGGUUGUGGGGAAUUUGGAAUAUUCCCUAAGGAUUUCCUCCAUUGAAGAGGUCUGCUUUAAAGUACUGGGGGUCCACAAACUCACCCCAUUUCCAGCUUGGCCUUGGGAGAAGAGGAGGACAGAGAACAGAAUUCUGGAUUGUUACUAGGUAGUUGGGCUGCAUCAGGAAGACAUUUUGGUAGAAGGAGAGGAAAGAGAGGUAGGAAGUGGGAAGGGAAGCACUAAGGGUUUUUUUUUUGACCCUGAUCCCCUUAGCUAGACAAGCUCAGUGGGGCUUAGGAUGGAGGUCAGGGAUAGCCUAAGAUCCUGUUACUGAAAGGGUAGUCUCCAGCCAGCAGCAUCAGCAUCACCUGGCUCUUAGGCUUCACCCCAGACCUACUGAAUCAGAAACUGCAUUUUAAUCCCUAGGUGAUAAGUAUGUCCAAUAAAAUUUCAGAAGCAUUAGCCUAGAUGCUUCAAUGGGAAUAACUUCUUGCAGUGAGCUAUUGAGGAACUGUGCUGGAUAAUCUCUCUGCCCUUCCAAAUCCACUUGCCAUCCUUAUUCCCCUGCUCUUGGGACUAAGAAGUGAAUUGAUGAAUUCGCUUCCUUUAUUCAUUGCUUCAACAGGCUCCCUUGUCAUCUGGCUUCUGGUUGGGCUCAGCCAAUGGUCAGUGCUCAAGAAGCAGUGACUUAAGUGACAUUAAUAGUGACUUUACCAGCCAGGCAGGGUGGCUCAUGCCUGUAAUCCCAGCACUUUGGGUGGCCAAGACGGGUGGAUCACCUGAGGUCAGGAGUUUGAGACCAGCCUGGCUAACAUGGUGAAAUCCUG
rnacentral:lncRNA from 1 species